AGAACACUUCACCUGGCAUUUAAGGCUCUCCAAAGGCUGAUCUUGUUUUAUUCCUACAUGCCUCUUAAGUCCUAAUCAAAUAGGACCAUUUCUUGUUUAUCUGGGCAAGUUUGAUUCUCCACCCCGUAUCUUUUUGCUCCCAAAUACUAGUUAUCUGGCAUAUAAUGGCUUAAUAAAACUUGCUGAAUGCCUUUUUGUUGAAAUCCUGCCCAUUCCCAAUGGUUCACCUUAAACACCACUUUCUUAUGUUAAGAUUUCCUUAACAGCCUCCAUGGAAAGAUCUUUCCUCUUUUUCUGGUCUUUCUGGCACUUAACCCUUCCACUGCUGGGUAUCAUGUUCAUUGCUCUGUGAGGCUAAAAGCUAGCAGAGACUUUUACUUUGUUUUUGUAUCAAUUUCAGUAUCUAUGCCCUGCACACAGAAGAUAUUCAAUAAAUGUUUGACUUUAACUUCUGUUAAUUCUAACUCUGGAGUUUCACUUUCUACUUCUCUGGAUUCUUUCCUUGUUAAAGAAAAAAAUUUUUGGAGUUCCCCUUGUGGCAAAGUGGGUUAAGGACCUGGUGGUGGUGUCUCUGUAGUAGCUUGGUUCCCAGCUUCAGUUUGAUCGCUGCCUGGCACAGUGGGUUAAGGAUCUGGCAUUGCCACAGUUCUGGAACUCUCAGAGUAGAUAUUCUUAAGAGUACGCAGGCCAUAGUAUAUGAGAUUCCUCUGCAGAAGCAAAGAACAUGCAAGACUACACUUAUUCUCAGGAGUAUGGGCAGAGGAAGGGCUAUAACACCCAGAGUACAUGGUAUUGGGCUGCAUUCAUUAGAGGUAAUAUGUACCUUUCAGUUCAGAUUCCAGAGAGAAGUUUCCUAAGUUAUUCGAAAAAUGAAAAGCCAUAUACACGUUGCUGGGGGUAAGGGAACAGUGCUAAGAUCUGUCCCAAGGGCUCUGCCAGGCUCUAUCUGCAUAAGGCUGAGGUCCGAGAGAAGUCCUGUGAGUCUUAACAUGGAGUUUGUGCGAGCUGGCAUAACCAACCCUGAGAGCUCAGGGAGAAGAAGGGAUUUUCAAAGGAGCCACUGGAAACAGAGCUCUGGGCCAGGGGGCCUCCUGGCUUCUCCUUUUCCCACCCCUCCCCAUCUCCUGCCCUUUCUAGUUGCUCAAGAGAACUGGUGAGAUGUUCCCGCCCAUCUUCAGACUGAACAUUCGAACUCCAAUGUCCCUUCUUCACCUCUUCCCACACAACCCAAAGGAUUUGUAGUCUAGGAAACCAAAGGAUAGUUUCAUCAAUAAAUCAAUUUAUUUAAAAGAAUAUGUUACAAUUAAUUACACUAAGUGACAUUACCAAACAAGUUUAGAGUGGUUAGCUCUAGAACAAGGAAUGAAAGAAACACUGUUAGCCAUUGUGUGUCUGUGUAUUUUCUCUUCACAUUUCUUAAAUCACAAAUAAAAAAUACAAGAUACUGCAGUGAAAAUACAAUUAGAGUUUCUCUCAAAUAAAUUAAAAGUGUGCAUGGCCUGGGGAAAACUGAAGCCCAGCUCACCAGCUUAAAAAGGGGGCAUGAUAUAAAAUUGGUGUCCAGGUUUAGCGGUUGGCUAAGUGCCUCCACCCCAUAUCACUCCCCUCUUGACUCUGUUCUUCCCCAGAGCCCUGAACCUCUCCCACAGCCUCCAUUACUGCUGAGCAGUGAGCUGACGCUGCCCGUCUCAGUGAGACCUGGGGGAAGAGGAAGGUCGGAGGAGGAAUCGGAAGAUGGGGAGCUUCUUUAGAAGCACACCCGCUGCCUCUGCUCUCUUGAGUAUUCAGCCACAUCACCCUCCCUCCAAAAGGAAGCUAACAUGACACAGGGAACCUGGGAGGAACCUAGUGGUAUGCUAGAGUCCAACACACCAAAUGGUUUCUACUGCUAAAUCAGUUUAGCCAGAGAACAGAGGAGAGAAGGGAGGGCAUAGCUGUCCCUCUAGGUCUGGAGAUUUCAGAUCACCCAGGAUGCAGUCCUCUUUAAGAAAACUGCUUUCCAGAGCCAGGCCCUAAGUUGGCAAAUUUUGAAAUGAGAGAGAGGCGUCACCUCCUAUUAAGAGCCCUAUACCACUGCUCCAAGCAUUGGAUUUGGAGCUACAAGAGGGGAGAACCCAAAGCUACUGGCCUGGGUAACUAAAGGAUGAAACUAGAUGGGCCAGGCAUGGGGAUGUUGAACAUUUAUCUAACUCCUCCCCGAGAGCUGUCCAGGCCUAGGAGCUGCCCUGAACACUCAUCUGUACUGAGCUUAGGCCCAGAGCACAGGAGGGCAGAAAAAAAGAGAGUAGAAUAAAAACAGGAAGAGCAGAAAACCCAAAGCAUGGCCCAAGGAACCCUUCUGCAGGGAUUAGUUUCUGAGGGCCUGCAUUUUCUCCUGAUCCAUAAAAACUAUGAGCUUUGAUCAAAGAGGAUAGAAACUCUUUGUUGGGGAAGGGAGAACAACAGGAGUUCAGGGACACCCUGCUGGCUCUGCUGGGGCGAAGCAGGGGGAAGGGAGAGCCUCUCCAUCUCCUAGAGACAAACUGCAGAAGAAGACUGAGUAGAAACCUCCCUGGGCAGAACCCAGGACCGAGAAAGGUGGGAAGGAUUCGAGAAAGGAAGUACAAAGCAAGAGGGAAAGGGUAUCACACUAACAUUGCUUCAUGCAAAGAAGAGCUUGACCCUAUGGCGCUCCACCACCACGGCGACCUCUGCCUCCAUGGCAGGACACCUGCUGUGGGUGAGAGAGAAGGCAGCGCCCCUUCACGUGCCCCACCCAUCCCCUUCAAGCUGUAGCCGGGGGCUUUGUGAGCUGUAUAACCUGAAGCAGGGGCUGUUCCUAAACAGAUUCUACUAAGAGGCUAACUACCUCUGGGGCCUUCCCCCAGUCUCCAAGCAUCGAGUGAGUGCCAGGUCAGAUGGGGAACGGAGCAGCGUCUAUCCACACUAAGGGCCUCCCCGAUGCCCUCAUCUGGAGGUCAGCAUUUGGGCUUUCCAUGGACUCCCGGGUUUGUUCAUUCCUCUCCCACUCUGAGGGAUCAGGGGACAAACUGCUGCUAUUUUUAACAUUCGAACAAAGCCAGUGCCAAAGCCCUCU
rnacentral:lncRNA from 1 species